rnacentral:rRNA from 1 species
UACGUAGGGGGCAAGCGUUGUCCGGAAUCAUUGGGCGUAAAGCGAGCGUAGGCGGCCCGAUAAGUCUGCUGCAAAAGUCAACGGCUCGAACCGUUGAAAGCCGGUGGAUACUGUCGGGCUAAGAGUUCGGAAGAGGCAAGUGGAAUUCCGUGGUGUAGCGGUGGAAUGCGCAGAGUAUCAGGAAGAGCACCCGUGGCUAAGGCGGUCUCUAGUACGGUACUGACGCUGAGACGCGAAAGCGUGGGGAGCGAACAGG